UUAAGUUAUUAAGGGCGCACGGUGGAUGCCUUGGCACUAGAAGCCGAUGAAGGACGUUACUAACGACGAUAUGCUUUGGGGAGCUGUAAGUAAGCUUUGAUCCAGAGAUUUCCGAAUGGGGAAACCCAGCAUGAGUUAUGUCAUGUUAUCGAUAUGUGAAUACAUAGCAUAUCAGAAGGCACACCCGGAGAACUGAAACAUCUUAGUACCCGGAGGAAGAGAAAGAAAAUUCGAUUCCCUUAGUAGCGGCGAGCGAAACGGGAAGAGCCCAAACCAACAAGCUUGCUUGUUGGGGUUGUAGGACACUCUAUACGGAGUUACAAAGGACGACAUUAGACGAAUCAUCUGGAAAGAUGAAUCAAAGAAGGUAAUAAUCCUGUAGUCGAAAAUGUUGUCUCUCUUGAGUGGAUCCUGAGUACGACGGAGCACAUGAAAUUCCGUCGGAAUCUGGGAGGACCAUCUCCUAAGGCUAAAUACUCUCUAGUGACCGAUAGUGAACCAGUACCGUGAGGGAAAGGUGAAAAGCACCCCGGAAGGGGAGUGAAAUAGAACCUGAAACCGUGUGCUUACAAGUAGUCAGAGCCCGUUAAUGGGUGAUGGCGUGCCUUUUGUAGAAUGAACCGGCGAGUUACGAUUUGAUGCAAGGUUAAGCAGUAAAUGUGGAGCCGUAGCGAAAGCGAGUCUGAAUAGGGCGUUUAGUAUUUGGUCGUAGACCCGAAACCAGGUGAUCUACCCUUGGUCAGGUUGAAGUUCAGGUAACACUGAAUGGAGGACCGAACCGACUUACGUUGAAAAGUGAGCGGAUGAACUGAGGGUAGCGGAGAAAUUCCAAUCGAACCUGGAGAUAGCUGGUUCUCUCCGAAAUAGCUUUAGGGCUAGCCUCAAGUGAUGAUUAUUGGAGGUAGAGCACUGUUUGGACGAGGGGCCCCUCUCGGGUUACCGAAUUCAGACAAACUCCGAAUGCCAAUUAAUUUAACUUGGGAGUCAGAACAUGGGUGAUAAGGUCCGUGUUCGAAAGGGAAACAGCCCAGACCACCAGCUAAGGUCCCAAAAUAUAUGUUAAGUGGAAAAGGAUGUGGCGUUGCCCAGACAACUAGGAUGUUGGCUUAGAAGCAGCCAUCAUUUAAAGAGUGCGUAAUAGCUCACUAGUCGAGUGACACUGCGCCGAAAAUGUACCGGGGCUAAACAUAUUACCGAAGCUGUGGAUUGUCCUUUGGACAAUGGUAGGAGAGCGUUCUAAGGGCGUUGAAGCAUGAUCGUAAGGACAUGUGGAGCGCUUAGAAGUGAGAAUGCCGGUGUGAGUAGCGAAAGACGGGUGAGAAUCCCGUCCACCGAUUGACUAAGGUUUCCAGAGGAAGGCUCGUCCGCUCUGGGUUAGUCGGGUCCUAAGCUGAGGCCGACAGGCGUAGGCGAUGGAUAACAGGUUGAUAUUCCUGUACCACCUAUAAUCGUUUUAAUCGAUGGGGGGACGCAGUAGGAUAGGCGAAGCGUGCGAUUGGAUUGCACGUCUAAGCAGUAAGGCUGAGUAUUAGGCAAAUCCGGUACUCGUUAAGGCUGAGCUGUGAUGGGGAGAAGACAUUGUGUCUUCGAGUCGUUGAUUUCACACUGCCGAGAAAAGCCUCUAGAUAGAAAAUAGGUGCCCGUACCGCAAACCGACACAGGUAGUCAAGAUGAGAAUUCUAAGGUGAGCGAGCGAACUCUCGUUAAGGAACUCGGCAAAAUGACCCCGUAACUUCGGGAGAAGGGGUGCUCUUUAGGGUUAACGCCCAGAAGAGCCGCAGUGAAUAGGCCCAAGCGACUGUUUAUCAAAAACACAGGUCUCUGCUAAACCGUAAGGUGAUGUAUAGGGGCUGACGCCUGCCCGGUGCUGGAAGGUUAAGAGGAGUGGUUAGCUUCUGCGAAGCUACGAAUCGAAGCCCCAGUAAACGGCGGCCGUAACUAUAACGGUCCUAAGGUAGCGAAAUUCCUUGUCGGGUAAGUUCCGACCCGCACGAAAGGCGUAACGAUUUGGGCACUGUCUCAACGAGAGACUCGGUGAAAUCAUAGUACCUGUGAAGAUGCAGGUUACCCGCGACAGGACGGAAAGACCCCGUGGAGCUUUACUGUAGCCUGAUAUUGAAAUUCGGCACAGCUUGUACAGGAUAGGUAGGAGCCUUUGAAACGUGAGCGCUAGCUUACGUGGAGGCGCUGGUGGGAUACUACCCUAGCUGUGUUGGCUUUCUAACCCGCACCACUUAUCGUGGUGGGAGACAGUGUCAGGCGGGCAGUUUGACUGGGGCGGUCGCCUCCUAAAAGGUAACGGAGGCGCUCAAAGGUUCCCUCAGAAUGGUUGGAAAUCAUUCAUAGAGUGUAAAGGCAUAAGGGAGCUUGACUGCGAGACCUACAAGUCGAGCAGGGUCGAAAGACGGACUUAGUGAUCCGGUGGUUCCGCAUGGAAGGGCCAUCGCUCAACGGAUAAAAGCUACCCCGGGGAUAACAGGCUUAUCUCCCCCAAGAGUUCACAUCGACGGGGAGGUUUGGCACCUCGAUGUCGGCUCAUCGCAUCCUGGGGCUGUAGUCGGUCCCAAGGGUUGGGCUGUUCGCCCAUUAAAGCGGUACGCGAGCUGGGUUCAGAACGUCGUGAGACAGUUCGGUCCCUAUCCGUCGUGGGCGUAGGAAAUUUGAGAGGAGCUGUCCUUAGUACGAGAGGACCGGGAUGGACAUACCUCUGGUGUACCAGUUGUCGUGCCAACGGCAUAGCUGGGUAGCUAUGUGUGGACGGGAUAAGUGCUGAAAGCAUCUAAGCAUGAAGCCCCCCUCAAGAUGAGAUUUCCCAACUUCGGUUAUAAGAUCCCUCAAAGAUGAUGAGGUUAAUAGGUUCGAGGUGGAAGCAUGGUGACAUGUGGAGCUGACGAAUACUAAUCGAUCGAAGACUUAAUCAA
rnacentral:rRNA from 1 species